rnacentral:rRNA from 1 species
GAUGAACGCUGGCGGCGUGCCUAAUACAUGCAAGUCGAGCGAAUGGAUUAAGAGCUUGCUCUUAUGAAGUUAGCGGCGGACGGGUGAGUAACACGUGGGUAACCUGCCCAUAAGACUGGGAUAACUCCGGGAAACCGGGGCUAAUACCGGAUAACAUUUUGAACCGCAUGGUUCGAAAUUGAAAGGCGGCUUCAGCUGUCACUUAUGGAUGGACCCGCGUCGCAAUAGCUAGUUGGUGAGGUAACGGCUCACCAAGGCAACGAUGCGUAGCCGACCUGAGAGGGUGAUCGGCCACACUGGGACUGAGACACGGCCCAGACUCCUACGGGAGGCAGCAGUAGGGAAUCUUCCGCAAUGGACGAAAGUCUUACGGAGCAACGCCGCGUGAGUGAUGAAGGCUUUCGGGUCGUAAAACUCUGUUGUUAGGGAAGAACAAGUGCUAGUUGAAUAAGCUGGCACCUUGACGGUACCUAACCAGAAAGCCACGGCUAACUACGUGCCAGCAGCCGCAGUAA